rnacentral:lncRNA from 1 species
GCCCCGGGGGCGCGGCGGCCGCGGGGGGCGGCGGCAGCAGCGGGGGCGGUACCGAGGUGCCCGGGGAGAAGGCCUGGGGCUCGCAGGAGGAGGAGGGCGAAGGCAGCGCGGCGGUGGAGGGGCCCGGCUCCUCCGAGGAGAGGAACAGGGUGGUGGAGGACGGAGAGUCCAAGUCUAGUAAGGAAGAGUGGGUGUAGGAGCAGUUCAUGUACCAAGAACAAAGCUGGAGGGCCGUGGGGCUGAGCAGAGACAUUCAGAGACAAGAGGAUCAUGGAGCCCAAUCGGGCAUCCAGAACUGCCUCACGUCCUCCAAAACUUAAUUUCCUUGGGCUUCUAUGAUGAUCUUCGUUGGUAAACCAAGAAUCAUAGACACGUCUAAGCACAGAACUCCCGGUCUGCCUUCCAACUAUAUCCAGCAUCUGACCACGUGUCACAGUCUCCAGGCAACCAAGGUGCAGCCUUUGGUGCCUGAGCCAGGAUCAGAACACAGGUCUCCUGAGUUCCAGGAACGUCAUGAGACCCACAGGGCAGUCUUCUGGUUUUAAGACCUAGCUCUGCUAUCGCCGAGGCCCUCCAAGGAGAGGCUGGGCAGCCCUGACGGGGACGUGGGGCUGAUUCUCCCAGGAAGAACACUGCCCAUCCCCUGUGGUCCCUGAAGAUCAGAAGAACCCAGCCCUGGGGAAACCCUUGGUCUGUGUCUCCAGCAGCAUUAGUGAUUUCCUGAGAGUGAGGUGAGAAAAGUCAUUUCACUUUCUGUGUGAAUUAUUCAGCCUCAAACUUCCUCGUGGCUGAGGGUUGAGCCAGAGAGGAAUGCUCAUCAUCAAUCAAGUUAGGAAAGCAAGAUGGGUGGCAAGGAAGAAGGGCUGGCACAGAGACUGAUUCAGGCAGCCAAACGCUUCUCCUCCUUUAAAGAAGAGAGAGAAGUGAAAUCACGUGUCUGUAUGUAGUUGUUCACAGUGACGCUGUUCACUUGGACCAAAAGGUCCAAAAAUGAAUGAGUGUAAAAAAAUGUGGGGUGUGUGUGCAUAUAUAUAUUUAUAUGUACAUACAUAUAGAGGCAUAUAUUAUAUUAUACAUGAAUAUUAUUCAGCCUUAAAAAGGAAGGACGUUUUGACAUAUGCUAAAUGGAUGAACCUCAAGGUGUACGUACACUAAAUGGAAUAAACCAGUCGCAAAAGCCCAUACACAAAAUAUUGUGUGAUUCCUCUUGUGUGAGGUUCCUGGGGUGGUCACACUCACGGACACAGAGAGGACAAUGUGGCUGGCAGGAGCAGAGGGGGGAC